GGUCCUGCUCCUGCCAUGUAAGAUGCCUGUUCCCACUUUGGCUUCUGCCAUGUCUAAAAGCUCCCUGAAACCUCGAAGCAGAUGCCACCAGCUUCCUGUGCAGCCUGCAGAACUGCUCUGGGCUGCCGUCUUCUGGAAGAGGUGCUUUCUAAGACAAUCCAUCCAGAAGUGUCUAAGACUGAAUACAAAGAAUUUCUUCAAGAGUUUAUAGAUGACAAUGCCACUGAAAAUGCUGCAGAUGAAUUGAAGCAGUGUCUUUCAACCCGUCAGAUGAAACUCUGGCCAAUGUUGAAGUGUUUAUGAAAAGUUAGAAAUAUACCAAGAAAAUCCCCAUAAGGAUGAAAGUGAACAUCACCUCGGGAAAUCCUGUCGCUUCCUACAACAUGGAUGAAUCUUGAGGACAUAAUGCUGAGUAAAAUGAGGAGUUGCAGAAACACAAAUGUUGCAUGACCCUUGCAUAUGGACAUCUGCAGAGUCAAAGUCAGAGACACUGAAAGAAACAGAGUGGUUGUCAAGGCUUGGGUGCAGAGGAGAAAGGGGUGUUGUGUUUAAUGGGUCCAGAGUUUCAGGUGUCCAGGACAAUUAUAUUCUGGAGUUGGGUUGCAAAACCACGUGAACAUUUGGAACACUCCUGAACCAUAUGCUUAAAAUGACAACUUUGAUGAGAUGUACAUUUUACCCCAACUAACAAUUUAUUAAAAAUUAAAUAUCCAUUGC